rnacentral:rRNA from 1 species
GAGUUUGAUCCUGGCUCAGAUUGAACGCUGGCGGCAGGCCUAACACAUGCAAGUCGAGCGGUAGAGAGAAGCUUGCUUCUCUUGAGAGCGGCGGACGGGUGAGUAAUGCCUAGGAAUCUGCCUGGUAGUGGGGGAUAACGCUCGGAAACGGACGCUAAUACCGCAUACGUCCUACGGGAGAAAGCAGGGGACCUUCGGGCCUUGCGCUAUCAGAUGAGCCUAGGUCGGAUUAGCUAGUUGGUGAGGUAAUGGCUCACCAAGGCGACGAUCCGUAACUGGUCUGAGAGGAUGAUCAGUCACACUGGAACUGAGACACGGUCCAGACUCCUACGGGAGGCAGCAGUGGGGAAUAUUGGACAAUGGGCGAAAGCCUGAUCCAGCCAUGCCGCGUGUGUGAAGAAGGUCUUCGGAUUGUAAAGCACUUUAAGUUGGGAGGAAGGGCAGUAAAUUAAUACUUUGCUGUUUUGACGUUACCGACAGAAUAAGCACCGGCUAACUCUGCGCC